UGUGUGACGUGUGUGUUUGAUGGGUUUAGCACAGUGCCAAGUAGAAUGUCAACCAGUACCCGUGUUUGUUUUGACAAGUGCCUGGGGUAGAAAUAGUUCAUUGUGUGACACAUUAUUGUGAGAUGUCAUGCGCAGUGGAGGCCAAACGUUAGUGCAGAAUCGAGUCAUGUGUCUUUGGGAACAGGCGCGUAUCCUUUGGACUUAGACCUCCAUCUUGAAUUUAGGGAUUUCAAUAAAAUAUUUCAUGUGUUUGGAUAACUUAUCUUUCUAAUUGCCACUAAACAACGUCAACCUACACAACAUCAUCAUAUUGACGACGAUGUUGCUAAUAAAAUGGUGCUAAUCGUUCAUGUGUUUGGAUAACUUAUCUUUCUAAUUGCCACUAAACAACGUCGACCUAAACAACAGCAUCAUAUUGACGACGAGGGUUGAUGGUGAUUUGGAUACCGGAACUUUCACCGGAAGUUGGGGAGAACAUUUAUGUGAUGCUGUCGACAGCUACUUUACACGCCAUCAUCGAGUGGACCCAUCAUCAAGUCCACCCAUAAUCGAGUGGACCCAUCAUCGAGUGGACCCAGCAAGUGGACCCAUCAUCAAGUCGACCGAUCAUCGAGUGGGCCCAUCAUCAAGUGGACCCUUCAUAUAGUGGACCCAUCAUCAAGUGGACCCAUCAUCGAGUGGACCCAUCAUGGGCAGAUCUCCUGCAAGAGUACUCGGCUUAAGGACUUUAAGAUUGUACCACCUUUAUUUGACAAAGCGUCUACAGGACCAGUACAAGAAUGCAAAUGUCUCUAUCAUCCUACUGGACCAUUGAAAAAAGCAGUUGUUUCUAUAUAUAUUCAAUAAUGCAAACAUCAUUUUUUU